rnacentral:rRNA from 1 species
AACGAACGCUGGCGGCAGGCUUAACACAUGCAAGUCGAGCGCCCCGCAAGGGGAGCGGCAGACGGGUGAGUAACGCGUGGGAAUCUACCCAUCACUACGGAACAACUCCGGGAAACUGGAGCUAAUACCGCAUACGUCCUUCGGGAGAAAGAUUUAUCGGUGAUGGAUGAGCCCGCGUUGGAUUAGCUAGUUGGUGGGGUAAUGGCCCACCAAGGCGACGAUCCAUAGCUGGUCCGAGGGGAUGAUCAGCCACACUGGGACUGAGACACGGCCCAGACUCCUACGGGAGGCAGCAGUGGGGAAUAUUGGACAAUGGGCGCAAGCCUGAUCCAGCCAUGCCGCGUGAGUGAUGAAGGCCCUAGGGUUGUAAAGCUCUUUCACCGGUGAAGAUAAUGACGGUAACCGGAGAAGAAGCCCCGGCUAACUUCGUGCCAGCAGCCGCAGUAA